GAUGAACGCUGGCGGCGUGCCUAAUACAUGCAAGUCGAACGAACAGGCGAUGCUCUUGCGCGGUUCACGUUUGCCGCGCGCGUGUGAGUAACGCGUGUAUACCCUCCUUAUCUUUGUGGGAUCAUUACGGAACACCGGCUCUAAUCGCAUAUAAUAUCUUGAACCGCGUUGUUCAUUAGUAAAAUACGGUUUUUCCGGCGGUUAUCGCUGGAUUCGCGGCUUAUUAGCUUGUUGGUGGGUUAGUGGCUUUCCACGGCUACGACGGGUAGCCGGCCUGAGAGGGUGACCGGCCACAUUGGGACUGAGAUACGGCCCAGACUCCUACGGGAGGCAGCAGUGGGGAAUAUUGCACAAUGGGCGGAAGCCUGAUGCAGCAACGCCGCGUGCGGGAUGACGGCCUUCGGGUUGUAAACCGCUUUCGCCGGUGACGAAGCGUGAGUGACGGUAAUGGGUAAAGAAGCACCGGCUAACUACGUG
rnacentral:rRNA from 1 species